CCGGGUGAGUAACACGUGACUAACCUACCUUUCAGUGGGGAAUAACCUCGGGAAACCGGGGCUAAUACCGCAUAACGUCUACGGACCAAAGGAGCAAUUCGCUGGAAGAGGGGGUCGCGGCCGAUUAGCUAGUUGGCGGGGUAACGGCCCACCAAGGCAAUGAUCGGUAGCCGGCCUGAGAGGGCGCACGGCCACACUGGAACUGAAACACGGUCCAGACUCCUACGGGAGGCAGCAGUGGGGAAUUUUGUGCAAUGGGGGAAACCCUGACGCAGCAACGCCGCGUGGAGGAUGAAGCCCCUUGGGGUGUAAACUCCUUUCGAUCGGGACGAUUAUGACGGUACCGGAUGAAGAAGCACCGGCUAACUCUGUGCCAGCAGCCGCGG
rnacentral:rRNA from 1 species